rnacentral:rRNA from 1 species
CAUUAGUUUGACCCCCCGAAACUAGGUGAGCUACUUUUAAACAGCUUUAUGAGCCAACCCGUCUCUGUUGCAAAAGAGUGGGAAGAUUUUCAAGUAGAGGUGAAAAGCCUAACGAACCUAGAGAUAGCUGGUUGUUCAGGAAAAGAAUUUUAGUUCUCCCUUAAGCUAUACUAUGACCUAAAACAGUCCACUAAGCUUAAGAGCUAUUCAAAUAAGGCACAGCUUAUUUGAAAAAGAAUUCAGUCUCUAACCAAGGGUAAGUAACAUUGCUUGUGCUAAGUGGGCCUGAAAGCAGCCACCUUUAAAAAAGCGUUAAAGCUUCUCACUUUUCCCCCAACCUCAAUACCAACUUUUCACGAACCCUUUUUUAGUACUGAACAACCCUAUANNNUUAUAGGAGAUAUAAUGCUAAAACUAGUAACAAGAAAUAGAUUUUCUCCAAAAUGUAAGUGUAAGCCAAAACGGACCAACCACUGGCCAUUAUCGCAUCUGAGCCCUGAAUAGCAACCUUUUCUAGAAAAGCCUAUUACCCUCAAGCGUUAACCUAACACAAGAGCAUUCCUGGAAAGAUUGAAAGAGAAAGAAGGAAUUCGGCAAAUCUNNNCCCCGCCUGUUUNCCAAAAACAUCGCCUCUUGAUAAAACAUAAGAGGUCCAGCCUGCCCAGUGACUUAGUUCAACGGCCGCGGUAUUCUGACCGUGCGAAGGUAGCAUAAUCACUUGUUUCUUAAAUAGAGACUAGUAUGAAUGGCACCACGAGGGCUCAACUGUCUCCUUUCUCUAAUCAGUGAAACUGAUCUCCUUGUGAAGAAGCAAGGAUCAAAAUAUAAGACGAGAAGACCCCAUGGAGCUUUAAACCCAAUGGCAACCCCCAACUCCCUACCUCAUCUUAGUUGUUCCAGUCCUGUCCAUUGGUUUUAGGUUGGGGUGACCGCGGAGUAUAAUUGACCCUCCACGAUGAAUGGGGCUACCCCCCUAACCCAAGAGCCACUCCUCUAAGAAUCAAUAAAUUGACAUAAAAUGAUCCAAUCAUUUGAUCAACGAACCAAGUUACCCUGGGGAUAACAGCGCAAUCCAUUUUAAGAGCUCCUAUCGACAAAUGGGUUUACGACCUCGAUGUUGGAUCAGGGUAUCCUAGUGGUGCAGCCG